rnacentral:misc_RNA from 1 species
GGAAAUCUUGAUUAGAGUACAGGGCUUUGCCAUGGGUGAAAGAUUCAACAGUACUGUUGUUUCUUUUAUUUUCUAGAAAUGCAAGCGCUCUUUCAAGACCAUUGAAAUGAAGCAGUGAUAAAAAGUGGGAAGGAGUCAAAAACCAAAAGACGGUGAAUAGAAGGAGGAUUGAAGCGAAGAGAAGCGCAAGGGUUCUUGCUAAUGGCAUGGUCGGAAGAAACUUAAACAAUUGAGAGGAGCA